GAAUUCCAUCCAGUAAUUACUUUUCUUUCUGUUACUUCGAAAGUAGCUGCUUCAGCUUCAGCCACUCGAAUUUUCGAUAUUCCUUUUUAUUUCUCAUCAAACGAAUGACAUUUUCUUCUAAAAAUCCUAAGUAUUCUUAGCAUGAUAUUGGGAAAUAUCAUUGCUAUUUCUCAAACAAGCAUGAAACGUAUGCUUGCAUAUUCGUCCAUAGGUCAAAUCAGAUAAAUAAUUGUUGGAGACUCUAAUGACGGAUAUGCAAGCAUGAUAACUUAUAUGAUGUUCUAUAUCUCCAUGAAUUUAAGAACUUCUGCUUGCAUUGUAUUAUUUGGUCUAUGAAUCGAAAUUGAUAACAUUCGAGAUUAUGCAGGAUUAUACACAAAAGAUUCAUUUUUGGCUCUCUCUUUAAUUCUAUGUCUCUUAUUCCUAGGAUGUCUUCCUCCACCAGCAGGUUUUUUCGGAAAACUCUAUUUAUUUUUCUAUGGAUGGCAGACAGGCCUAUAUUCCAUGAUUUUAAUAGGACUCCUUGCAAUCGUUGUUUCUAUCUACUAUUAUCUAAAAAAAAUCAAGUUAUUAAUUACUGGACGAAACCAAGAAAUCACCCUUCACGUGCGAAAUUAAUAGAUAUCUGUGUAACAAUUUA
rnacentral:lncRNA from 1 species